rnacentral:tRNA from 1 species
GCGGAUGUAGCCAAGUGGAUCAAGGCAGUGGAUUGUGACCCCCCCCAUGCA